rfam:Bacillus pseudofirmus OF4, complete genome.
CGGGCUGUAUCUUAGGAACAGCACCUUUAAAAGUGAAAGUAGAAAAAAUUAGUUCUGCCUUGAUCCCAAAAGGACUAGGACAGAGGG